rnacentral:rRNA from 1 species
AGUGAACGCUGGCGGUAGGCCUAACACAUGCAAGUCGAACGGCAGCACAGUAAGAGCUUGCUCUUACGGGUGGCGAGUGGCGGACGGGUGAGGAAUACAUCGGAAUCUACUUUUUCGUGGGGGAUAACGUAGGGAAACUUACGCUAAUACCGCAUACGACCUACGGGUGAAAGCAGGGGAUCUUCGGACCUUGCGCGAUUGAAUGAGCCGAUGUCGGAUUAGCUAGUUGGCGGGGUAAAGGCCCACCAAGGCGACGAUCCGUAGCUGGUCUGAGAGGAUGAUCAGCCACACUGGACCUGAGCCACGGUCCAGACUCCUACGGGAGGCAGCAGUGGGGAAUAUUGGACAAUGGGCGCAAGCCUGAUCCAGCCAUACCGCGUGGGUGAAGAAGGCCUUCGGGUUGUAAAGCCCUUUUGUUGGGAAAGAAAAGCAGCAGGUUAAUACCCCGCUGUUCUGACGGUACCCAAAGAAUAAGCACCGGCUAACUUCGUG